rnacentral:rRNA from 1 species
UACAGAGGGUGCGAGCGUUAAUCGGAAUUACUGGGCGUAAAGCGCACGUAGUCGGCUUUGCAAGUCGGGUGUGAAAGUCCCUCGGCUUAACCGGGGAACUGCAUCUGAUACUGGAUGGCUUGAGAUUGGGAGAGGGAUGCGGAAUUCCAGGUGUAGCGGUGAAUGACGUAGAUAUCGAGAGGAACACCUGCGGCGAAGGCGGGAUUGCUGGGCCGACACUGACGCUGAUGCGCGAAAGCCAGGGGAGCGAA